rnacentral:rRNA from 1 species
AUUGAACGCUGGCGGCAUGCCUUACACAUGCAAGUCGAACGGCAGCACGGGGGCAACCCUGGUGGCGAGUGGCGAACGGGUGAGUAAUGCAUCGGAACGUGCCCAGGAGUGGGGGAUAACCCGGCGAAAGCCGGGCUAAUACCGCAUACGACCUAUGGGUGAAAGCGGGGGACCGUAUGGCCUCGCGCCAUUGGAGCGGCCGAUGUCUGAUUAGCUAGUUGGCGGGGUAAAGGCCCACCAAGGCGACGAUCAGUAGCUGGUCUGAGAGGACGACCAGCCACACUGGGACUGAGACACGGCCCAGACUCCUACGGGAGGCAGCAGUGGGGAAUUUUGGACAAUGGGCGCAAGCCUGAUCCAGCCAUGCCGCGUGCGGGAAGAAGGCCUUCGGGUUGUAAACCGCUUUUGGCAGGAACGAAACGGCGCAAGCCAAUACCUUGCGCUAAUGACGGUACCUGCAGAAUAAGCACCGGCUAACUACGUGCCAGCAGCCGCAGUAAAAC